rnacentral:rRNA from 1 species
UAUACGCUCGGCGGCUGCUCAAACAGCAAGUUCGAGCGAACAGUAAAGGAGCUUGCUCCUUGAAGUUAGCGGCGGACGGGUGAGUAACACGUGGGUAACCUACCUAUAAGACUGGGUAACUUCGGGAAACCGGAGCUAAUACCGGAUAACAUUUAGAACCGCAUGGUUCUAAAGUGAAAGAUGGUUUUGCUAUCACUUAUAGAUGGACCCGCGCCGUAUUAGCUAGUUGGUAAGGUAACGGCUUACCAAGGCGACGAUACGUAGCCGACCUGAGAGGGUGAUCGGCCACACUGGAACUGAGACACGGUCCAGACUCCUACGGGAGGCAGCAGUAGGGAAUCUUCCGCAAUGGGCGAAAGCCUGACGGAGCAACGCCGCGUGAGUGAUGAAGGGUUUCGGCUCGUAAAACUCUGUUAUUAGGGAAGAACAAAUGUGUAAGUAACUGUGCACAUCUUGACGGUACCUAAUCAGAAAGCCACGGCUAACUACGUGCCAGCAGCCGCGUAAAAUAAA